rnacentral:rRNA from 1 species
AACGAACGCUGGCGGCAGGCCUAACACAUGCAAGUCGAGCGCGCCCUUCGGGGUGAGCGGCGGACGGGUGAGUAACGCGUGGGAACGUGCCCUUUUCUACGGAAUAGCCUCGGGAAACUGAGAGUAAUACCGUAUACGCCCUUUGGGGGAAAGAUUUAUCGGAAAAGGAUCGGCCCGCGUUGGAUUAGGUAGUUGGUGGGGUAAUGGCCUACCAAGCCGACGAUCCAUAGCUGGUUUGAGAGGAUGAUCAGCCACACUGGGACUGAGACACGGCCCAGACUCCUACGGGAGGCAGCAGUGGGUAAUCUUAGACAAUGGGGGCAACCCUGAUCUAGCCAUGCCGCGUGAGUGAUGAAGGCCUUAGGGUUGUAAAGCUCUUUCAGCUGGGAAGAUAAUGACGGUACCAGCAGAAGAAGCCCCGGCUAACUCCGUG